rnacentral:lncRNA from 1 species
AUUGUUAUAUCAGGGGCGUAGCUACCCGGAGGCACGACAGCACGUGCAUCCACGUCGUUUUCACAAAUAAAAAAAAUUAAAAAAUUAAAAAAAAGCAGAAGAGAGAGAGAUGAGUUGGUCAAUCGGAAUCGGAGACUGUUGGUGUCUUUCCGUCUAUCCCGGAUAUUAGUUUGACAACCUAGUUACAAGUGUUGAUGAAGCUGUUCAGUCAGAAAACUUGAAGAUCGUAGCUCCG